CGAAUUUAUACAGACGUAAGAGUGCGGUACAAACCACUAAAAAUUUUCGGUACCAUGUUUUCUUCUUCUUGUUGGGCAGAAGUUUAACGAGGGAGCUAGUUGUUACCAUUUUGCGGUUGUUUUUUACGCAUUGGCUUACCCCCUUUGCAAGAUUUUGACAGUCUUUCGCCGCCUUCGCCGCGUUCACGGCGCAUUCGCCGCACAAAGAUUUGUUUUGUUUUGUUUACGUUUUGAUCUCGGUUUUGAUGGUACGCGGUACAAAUUAUUUGUUUCGAUCGUUUCAAUGGAUGAAAUUGUGCAAUAAAUGAAUAUUUCAUCAAAAUCGAAACAAAUAAUAUGUAAUAUUCAAUCCGUUGUCGCGGUUUUGGGAGGAUAAACUUUACAAGGACACCAAGACGGUUCGGUUGCAGGUAGCUGGAUUCAGCGUACAAAAACUUCAAUCAAGUCCUUGGAAAUGGUGGGCUCAGGUUUGAACAACGAGCUGGAAGCGCGUGCCGUGUCCCAGGGCAUGGUGGGCCAGAAGGACGCCCGGCGGGCUGCCGGCCUGAUAGUGCAGAUUGUGCAUGAAGGGAAGAUAGCCGGGUGGCUGCUGACCGGGGAGCCUAGUACGGGAAAGAUGGUCAUUGCUCUGAGGAUAGCAGGGCACUCGGAUUCUUAUCGUUGCUUGCUGGGGACACCGGUGAGAUCAAACAGGAUGUCCGCGAUCAGAUCAACGACAAGGAUGGCGCGAACGAUGGAAUGGCGCGAACAGAAUAAAGCGGAAAUCUAUCCCGGAGUGUUGCUCAUCGACAAGGCCCAUAUGUUGGAUAUCGAAUGCUUUUCCUUCCUGAACAAGGUUCCUUGGCAAGCGAUAUGGCCCCGGUCGUAAUUAUGAUCAUCAAUCGAGACAUUACCAAAAUCCGUGGAACCAACCGUUGUAGCCCGCCCGGAAUCCCAAUCGCUCCCAGACGUGCUGGGAGCAUCAGAACCUGAAUCAAGAGGAUGUCGCCCGAUGUUCAUGGAGGUAUAGGAAAAGAUCGAUCGCUGUUUCGAUUUCUAUCUGCAGAAAAAGUUAAACCGUUACAACGGCCUGCGGGCUUAAGAGGAAACGAAUUUCUCGGAAGAGGCCAUGCUGAUAAUGAGCGCUUCCAGAUCUACGGCCGGAAGGUUGACUAUCUGGAGAAGAUAAUUUUGCACAUGGAUCAAGAUCAGAAAUGGAGAGAUGAAGGCCAGGGAGAAGCCGACGGUGGCCAGGAUGCGUGCUGUCCGUUUCCAACCCCAGUCGUUGUCCGAUUGUUUCGAGGAUUUGGAAUUUUCUGUGGUAUAGAGUAAGAAGGCACCGAUCAAGUCCUUGGUUAGAGGGGUAGACAAAGGGGCUGUCGAUCAGCGGAACAAGUUUAAGCAGGAGUGUAAUGAGUUGAGGACAAUGUCCAAUAAGCAAAGAAAACAGGAAAUCUUGAAUUUCGAGACGGUGCAAAUAUUCCGCCGAUCAUGUCCAGUCAUACCGCUGCUAGGAAGAAUCAGAUUCUGGACUUGGAAUCUGGAGAAACAAUCGGAACUCGAUAUGACUUUCAGAUUCAUUUGAAUUUCAUCGAUGUCGCUGAUAUCACAACAUGAGGAAAUUCUUCCAGCUUUGUGACGUCGUCGAUUAUCUGUUCAAGCAAGCGAGGACAUGGCAAGCGUAAGGACAUCCUCAUCGGCAUCGAUUUUCCAGUUAAAAACACGUACUCCCGUCAACCAUGGUUUGGUCAACGCUAUCUGGAGGAUCUCUGCCGAUGCAACGUCAACGCCUUGUAAUAGUAAAUGCUUAUGGCUUUCAAUUGCAUACAUAUCAAUAAAAUUACUGAGGUGGGUGGGGUGUUUCUGUGAUCUCUAUAUAAUCCAUCCGAAAAUUCGCCAGGAGUCUAAACGCAAAACCAACAUCUAAGUGGAUCUACAAUAGUGGUCUGAAUUUGUUGCUCAGAAAUUUCACCAUGUCCUGCGAGGUGACGCAAAUCGCUUGAAACUUAUGGAACUAUUCUUGUGGUCCUUACGAUAUUCUUCCAAUUGAUCUGAAUUUUUCGCUCAGAAGGUUCAUCAUGUCUUCCUAGGUUGCGAGGUGACGCGAUACGCUCAGAACUUAUUGAGUUAUUCUAAUGAAUUUUGAGAUAUUCUUCCAUUUGAUUUAGAUGCAUUCCUCACGUUUUCCUAAAAUUCAUUGUGAUGCAAAACAUUACACGUCACUCCAAGAAGCUUUGUUCUAGCUAGAUUCACCAAGUCCUCCUAAUGCAUGG